rnacentral:rRNA from 1 species
UACGUAGGGUGCGAGCGUUAAUCGGAAUUACUGGGCGUAAAGCGUGCGCAGGCGGUGAUGUAAGGCAGGUGUGAAAUCCCCGGGCUUAACCUGGGAACUGCAUUUGUGACUGCAUCGCUGGAGUGCGGCAGAGGGGGAUGGAAUUCCGCGUGUAGCAGUGAAAUGCGUAGAUAUGCGGAGGAACACCGAUGGCGAAGGCAAUCCCCUGGGCCUGCACUGACGCUCAUGCACGAAAGCGUGGGGAGCAAACAGG